rnacentral:rRNA from 1 species
GACGAACGCUGGCGGCGUGCUUAACACAUGCAAGUCGAACGGAAAGGCCUCUUUCCGGGUGGUACUCGAGUGGCGAACGGGUGAGUAACACGUGAGUAACCUGCCCUUGACUUUGGGAUAACUUCAGGAAACUGGGGCUAAUACCGGAUAGGAGCUCCUGCUGCAUGGUGGGGGCUGGAAAGUUUCGGCGGUUGGGGAUGGACUCGCGGCUUAUCAGCUUGUUGGUGGGGUAGUGGCUUACCAAGGCUUUGACGGGUAGCCGGCCUGAGAGGGUGACCGGCCACAUUGGGACUGAGAUACGGCCCAGACUCCUACGGGAGGCAGCAGUGGGGAAUAUUGCACAAUGGGUGGAAGCCUGAUGCAGCAACGCCGUGUGCGGGAUGACGGCCUUCGGGUUGUAAACCGCUUUCGCUCAUGACGAAGCUUUGUGUGACGGUAGUGGGUAAAGAAGCACCGGCUAACUACGU